CAGCCGCCACGGUAAUACGUAGGUGGCAAGCGUUGUCCGGAAUUAUUGGGCGUAAAGGGCUCGCAGGCGGUUUCUUAAGUCUGAUGUGAAAGCCCCCGGCUCAACCGGGGAGGGUCAUUGGAAACCGGGAAACUUGAGUGCAGAAGAGGAGAGUGGAAUUCCACGUGUAGCGGUGAAAUGCGUAGAGAUGUGGAGAAACACCAGUGGCGAAGGCGACUCUCUGGUCUGUAACUGACGCUGAGGAGCGAAAGCGUGGGGAGCGAACAGGAUUAGAGACCCCUGUAGUCCCUGUCUCUUAUAC
rnacentral:rRNA from 1 species